rnacentral:rRNA from 1 species
UACAGAGGUCCCGAGCGUUGUUCGGAUUCAUUGGGCGUAAAGGGCGCGUAGGCGGCGGGGUAAGUCGGGUGUGAAAUCUCAGGGCUCAACCCUGAAACUGCACUCGAUACUGCUCUGCUUGAGGACUGGAGAGGAGACUGGAAUUCACGGUGUAGCAGUGAAAUGCGUAGAUAUCGUGAGGAAGACCAGUGGCGAAGGCGGGUCUCUGGACAGUUCCUGACGCUGAGGCGCGAAGGCCAGGGGAGCAAACGGG